GCCGGGGUGGCGGAACAGGUAGACGCAGUGGACUCAAAAUCCACCGGUACUCUGGUACUGUGCGGGUUCGAGUCCCGCCCCCGGCACCA
rnacentral:tRNA from 1 species